AUUCCUUUGUUUUGCCCUUGUCAGGAACCCCUGCAAGAGCAAGAGGGAGACGUGUUCAAAUUCUGGCCUCUGCACUGCUGAGCUCUCUGGCUCGAGUAUUGCUUAUUGAGGAGGAUUCGAUGCAAGUUAUAUACCUGCUGGACCUUGAGCGCCUGGCGGUCCUUGUGGCCCAGGAGGUCCUGGAGGCCCUGCAGGUCCCACAACAUUGCUUCCUGGAAUACCUGGGAUUCCAGGGAUACCCGGUGGCCCCUGUGGACCUGGGGGACCAGGAGGGCCAGGUGGUCCUGGCACAGGCCUUUUUUUCACUGUGGAGAAAGAUGGAAUAAACGUUGAUUCUGAAAGAAACCGAAGCAGCGUGAUUAAGCUUCAAAUGCCCUCUUCAACAAUUAUCAUCUCAAAUGACACAUCGAGCAUCCAGAUCAUUCCAUGUAGGUAUCCUAAAUAGGCUGAAAUAACAGAUUGAGAUGGUGUGCACUGAACACUAGAGUGGAGGUAUGUCAGUCUGUGGUAUCUUGUAGUGUAGUAAUUUGUAAGUGUGGUUUCACCUCCUCUGUAUGAACAAGUGCCUUAAGCAUUCACAGGCAGUGGAACUGGAGAAGAUCAUUAGAGAGAUACUUUAUCCUGCCAAAAUCCUUUUCUUUGAAUUAAGCCCAGAUGGAGAAUGCAGAUGAAAGUGUGUGUGUGCAUGUGUGUUUGCGUGUCUCCUCCUUUACAACCAUGUGUAUGGAUGUGCAUGCACGGAUGUUGGUGGGGCAUCUAUGUCAGUGCUUGAAAGCACUCUCAGUGUUUGCAUCUGCAAGAGGGUGUGUGCGCGCACACGUAUAUGUGCCGCGCACAGCUGAAGAAUCCUUUUCAAAAAGCUGUCUCGGUUGCUCUUGUGUUUACCAUGUCAUUAUAACUACAAAGGCCAUUUAACCUUAAACCCUCACAGUUUGAGUCCCCCCUCAAACAUAUGGCCAGUGUUUCUCCUCUGGCUAAAUGACUGGAUGCAUCCGCAUAGAUUUCUCUUAACGAGCAGCCCUAUCUGGAAUCUGGUGCCCGUUAGGAGUGCCGAGGACGCACACACGUGCGCACAUGUGCAAACACAGGACACACACACACACACACA